rnacentral:lncRNA from 1 species
AUGCUGUUUCACCUUACACCCUUAAACCUCUUAGAAUUUACCAAUGUCAGUGAAUUUAAUAAAAAAAUACAAAAGUGCACACUCCUUGUACAAGAAAAAGGUGAACAACGCAAAAGUACAGGAUGGAUCCUGGACUUUUUCAAAGACCUCAUUCCAUUUAUUUAUUUAUCUAUCUAUUUUUUUGUCUCAACUUUUGUCAUUUGUCUUUUGAGGGCCACACCGCAGCAUAUGGAGGUUCCCAGGCUAGGGGUCCAAUUGGAUCUGUAGCCGCCAGCCUGUGCUAGAGCCACAGUAAUGCCCGAUCCAAGCUGGGUCUGUGACAUACACCACAGCUCACAGCAAUGCUGGAUCCUUAACCCGCUGAGCAAGGCCAGGGAUAGGACCUGCAAUGUUAUGGUUCCUAGUUGGAUUUGUUUCUGCUGCACCAUGACCGGAACUCCCCCAUUUACUUAUUUUCUAGCCUGCUUUUUUUUAGCCGGUCUCAUUCCCUAGGCAUAAGAGCCAGCCCACAGCUCUCCUAGCCAAUGAUUCUCAUUUGCCCUCCUUCGGGACACCCUUCUCUCUACCUUUCACUGCUAAGCUUCUGAAAAGAAUACUUUACUGCUUGUCUCCAGCUCAUGUCUCACUGACUUAUGAAAGCUCCCCAAAAUCUUGUCUCAGUAAUGUCUAGGGCAUUUUCUAAUGCUUUAAAAAUUAGUCUUUUAAGGAGUUCCCAUCGUGGCUCAGUGGUUAACGAAUCUGACUAGAAACCAUGAGGUUGCAGGUUCAAUUCCUGGACUUGCUCAGCGGGUUAUGGAUCUGGCAUUGCCAUGAGCUGUGGUGUAGGUCACAGACGUAGCUCAGAUCCCAUGUUGCUGUGGCUGUGGCAUAGGCUGGCAGCUGUAGCUCCGAUUGGACCCCUAGCCUGGGAACCUCCAUAUGCCGCAGUUGCGGCCUUACAAAAAGGCAAAAAGACAAAAAAAAAAAAAAAAUUAGUCUUUUAAUUAAAGUCUCCAUAGCAUCUGAUCAAUGUUGUUCACAUCUUCAUUCUUUAGAAUUCUCUCCAUCGUCUUUCUUCUGGAUUCCCUUCCUAACAUCAGAGCCUUCUUUCUCAGCUUUCUCUGUGAUUUCUUCGGACCACUUCCUAAUGGGUAUGUUCUCUCAGGUACCAUGGUCCGCUAACUGUCUUUUCACUGGCCCUGUGGUCUCAGGGGGAAACUCACCCCCCUCCAUCAUUUGAUGUUCACCUGAAUGCCACUGACUUCUGAAUGCUUGCCUCCCACCUCAUCCUUCUCCUGACUCCACCCUGAUUUAUCACAUUGUCUGCUGGACAUGUUUAUCGGGAUGUGCGUAGACUUCUGAAAAUCAGUAUGUCCAAAUCCGAGCUCGGUAUCUUCCCUUAGAACUUUCUUGAGAAAACGUGCUUGUCAUCCCCACCCAGACCACUCUCCAGCCACAUGUGCCUUCUUGCAAAUUCAAACAGACUCUUAUGCAAAUAGCUUCCAGGCUAAUCUUGGCAGGAUCAUGCCUUACAAAUUGUGCAGAUCAGAAAUGUUCAAUCUGCCUCCAAUUCACCUCUCGGGCAGGGGGGUGGGGGUGGGGGGUGGAUUUACACCCAAAAUUUAUAGG